UCUGGAGACCCACUCUUCUGGAGUUUACCUCGCAAGUCUAGGUUAUGGCUGUCUAAUAUAAUUGGCACCCACAUCCUGUUUUGGGGCCUCUGUGUUCUAAAAUCAGAUUGUUGCCAGGUUUUGAUUUGGCAGCUUGCAAGAUAAAUGAAAGAUUUGGCUGAGGCAGAGGGUAUAACUGGCAGUGCUGUUUCAUCUCUGCAUUAGUGAAGAAAGGUAACCUUGAAUUGAAGUGAGCCUUCUGCCAGUAUCUCUGGUGUUUUGUUUGAAGAUGAGUGACAGCACAUUCUCACAUCUGCUUGCAACUAGCUCUGGAAUUUGCAGCAUACGUGUUUUUUGCCAAGCGGCUCUCUCCAAUAUGCGUAAGAGUCACUAGGUGGUGCUAUCUCAGAAGCAAGAGGGAAUUUGAAACUAUUAGCGCGGGUCUGCGAGAUACUGAAAUGUAGUUCUUAAAUACCAGUAAGAACAAAAGGAUGCCUUUCCCACUCCGGGAAGACCUUGUGUUUGAAGUAUAUUUAUAUAACUGUCAUUUCUUCCUCUGUCAAAAACUUAGCAGCUGCAAGAAAAUAAAUAUUAAAAAGACUAAGUUCUUAUACUAAUUUAAGAUCACAUUAAUCCCUGUAAUUUAUCAAACAUACUUAUCCCCUCUUAACAAAUGCUUCUGUUUCACAGUAGAAGACUAUGUAGUUUAAAAGGCCAAAAAUUAACAGCAGGGCUUUAAAUGCACAUUUGUAAUAGCGACUUAUGGUUAAAAGAGCGCAGAAUUAGUGAUAUAGAUGUCAGAACUUAAACAUUCUGGGAUUAGUUUUAUAGAUUGCCCAGCUUGUUUUUUUCUUCCUUCAGUGGAAAAUUAGGUGCAUUGAGUGCAGUUUGGAGUCUGAUUGUAUUUUCUAGGGACCUGAAUGAACGUACUCUUAACCUCCCAUUCUUUCAACUGCUGCUGGAUUUGUCACUUUUUGUACAUGCACAGUUUUUUUAGUGCUGAGGAUUCUGUAUAUUCUAAAACUAAAAUGAAAUUUACUCCAAAUAUGAAGAGAAAUAGAGCAUUUAAAAAAGCCUGCCACUACUCCAGUUGAAUAUGCAUGUUCCCAUUUAUAAGGCAUUCCUGUUUGUAGUGUUGGUUUAUUGCUGUCACAGCUAAAGCAUCAGAGAGGAAAGAAUUCAUGCAACCUAUAGAAGAGUCCACUUGAAAGAGAAGUGGGUUUAACGGAAAAGAUUAAGGAGAGCCCUGGUACAUUCACUACCAGUAGUAGUGAGGAGUCAGACCAUUUGACUCCAUUCUGAUACUUCAGAAUUUUUGCAGCAUCACGUUUAAAUGCUGAUAUCAUUAGAGUGCUUGAGGUUUUUAAACCCCCUAGGGUCUUUGUGACUGUAGCUUCCUCCUCCAGUUUUUGUGCUCACUUUAUAUUCCCCAACUGAUCUGACUGUGGGGAGGUAGGAAGGUGCAGGCUUCUCAGAAAAGUUGUAGCACAUCAUUCUCUACUUUUGAAACAUAAUCCCUGCAGACUUUUUUUCCCUCUAAAAUUCACGGACCCUUAGAGCUUUUGUCACGGUGACUCUGUUCUACCUUAGAUCCUUGAUGGAGAGAAUGGAGAGAGAGUUGCCACCUGGAGGGAGGAAAAGAAAAAUACUCCAGCCUUCUACUCCCAGAAUGGAGUCACAACAGAAACGUUUCUGUCACAGUUCUAAGGCUGUGUAGGGAUUGGGCUUGGCUGUGUAUAUUAGACUGAGCUGAGCACCAGUACUGCUAUAGCAGCAUCACCUCUGGCGCAUUUAGUAGCAUUGAUUGCUCACACAAUCAGAGUGUACAAUUUAUAUAUCAUGCGAGAUUAAUAAGGUCAUCUUGCACAAAGUCCCUAAAUAAGAGAGCUAGAGAACUGAAAGUGAAAGUUUUCAAAACCUUCACCAUAGAGUUAGGAUAUUUUAACAUGGGAGAAUCUUCAUCAAAGUUUGAGGAAAAUUUUUUCAA